rnacentral:rRNA from 1 species
AACGCGAAGAACCUUACCUGGCCUUGACAUCCAGAGAACUUAGCAGAGAUGCUUUGGUGCCUUCGGGAACUCUGAGACAGGUGCUGCAUGGCUGUCGUCAGCUCGUGUUGUGAAAUGUUGGGUUAAGUCCCGCAACGAGCGCAACCCUUAUCCUUUGUUGCCAGCGGUUCGGCCGGGAACUCAAAGGAGACUGCCGGUGAUAAACCGGAGGAAGGUGGGGAUGACGUCAAGUCAUCAUGGCCCUUACGGCCAGGGCUACACACGUGCUACAAUGGCGCAUACAAAGAGAAGCGACCUCGCGAGAGCAAGCGGACCUCAUAAAGUGCGUCGUAGUCCGGAUUGGAGUCUGCAACUCGACUCCAUGAAGUCGGAAUCGCUAGUAAUCGUAGAUCAGAAUGCUACGGUGAAUACGUUCCCGGGCCUUGUACACACCG